CACGUAGGGGGCGAGCGUUGUCCGGAUUUAUUGGGCGUAAAGAGCUCGUAGGCGGCUCAGUAAGUCAGGUGUAAAAACUCCAGGCUCAACCUGGAGACGCCACCUGAUACUGCUGUGGCUAGAGUCCGGUAGGGGAGCAUGGAAUUCCUGGUGUAGCGGUGAAAUGCGCAGAUAUCAGGAAGAACACCCGUGGCGAAAGCGGCUCUCUGGAACGGUACUGACGCUGAGACGCGAAAGCGUGGGGAGCGAACAGG
rnacentral:rRNA from 1 species